GAUGAACGCUGGCGGCGUGCCUAAUACAUGCAAGUCGAGCGAACAGACGAGGAGCUUGCUCCUCUGACGUUAGCGGCGGACGGGUGAGUAACACGUGGAUAACCUACCUAUAAGACUGGGAUAACUUCGGGAAACCGGAGCUAAUACCGGAUAACAUGUUGAACCGCAUGGUUCAACAGUGAAAGACGGUCUUGCUGUCACUUAUAGAUGGAUCCGCGCCGCAUUAGCUAGUUGGUAAGGUAACGGCUUACCAAGGCAACGAUGCGUAGCCGACCUGAGAGGGUGGUCGGCCACACGGGACGUGGGACACGGUCCAGGGUCCUGAGGGAGGCAGCAGUAGGGAAUGGUCCGCAAUGGGCGAAAGCCUGACGGAGCAAGGCGGCGUGAGUGAAGAAGGUCGUCGGAUCGUAAAACUCUGUUAUUAGGGAAGAACAAAUGUGUAAGUAACUAUGCACGUCUUGACGGUACCUGAUCAGAAAGCCACGGCUAACUACGUG
rnacentral:rRNA from 1 species